rnacentral:lncRNA from 1 species
UACAACAUUAUCCAGUCAACCUUUAUGGCUGACAUGAAGAACAGCAUGAGAAGUUCACUGGACUAAUUUGAGAAGUCGCAUUUGGACUAAUUAGAAUUUGUCCUUGUUUAGACAUAUCUGAAAUUUGACGAAUAAAACAAUAAGUAACGAUACAACAUGUCAAUGUUAUAGAAUAUAUACAUAUAUAUAUAUAUACAUAUGUAUAUAUAUAUAUAUAUAUAUAUAUAUAUA